rnacentral:rRNA from 1 species
AUUGAACGCUGGCGGCAGGCCUAACACAUGCAAGUCGAGCGGAAGAAGGGAGCUUGCUCCUGGAUUCAGCGGCGGACGGGUGAGUAAUGCCUAGGAAUCUGCCUGGUAGUGGGGGACAACGUUCCGAAAGGAACGCUAAUACCGCAUACGUCCUACGGGAGAAAGCAGGGGACCUUCGGGCCUUGCGCUAUCAGAUGAGCCUAGGUCGGAUUAGCUAGUUGGUGAGGUAAUGGCUCACCAAGGCGACGAUCCGUAACUGGUCUGAGAGGAUGAUCAGUCACACUGGAACUGAGACACGGUCCAGACUCCUACGGGAGGCAGCAGUGGGGAAUAUUGGACAAUGGGCGAAGGCCUGAUCCAGCCAUGCCGCGUGUGUGAAGAAGGUCUUCGGAUUGUAAAGCACUUUAAGUUGGGAGGAAGGGUUGUAGAUUAAUACUCUGCAAUUUUGACGUUACCGACAGAAUAAGCACCGGCUAACUCUGUGCCAGCCGCCGCCGUAAGAC